AGAGUUUGAUCCUGGCUCAGAUUGAACGCUGGCGGCAGGCCUAACACAUGCAAGUCGAACGGUAACAGGAAGAAGCUUGCUUCUUUGCUGACGAGUGGCGGACGGGUGAGUAAUGUCUGGGAAACUGCCUGAUGGAGGGGGAUAACUACUGGAAACGGUAGCUAAUACCGCAUAACGUCGCAAGACCAAAAAGGGGGACCUUCGGGCCUCUUGCCAUCGGAUGUGCCCAGAUGGGAUUAGCUAGUAGGUGGGGUAACGGCUCACCUAGGCGACGAUCCCUAGCUGGUCUGAGAGGAUGACCAGCCACACUGGAACUGAGACACGGUCCAGACUCCUACGGGAGGCAGCAGUGGGGAAUAUUGCACAAUGGGCGCAAGCCUGAUGCAGCCAUGCCGCGUGUAUGAAGAAGGCCUUCGGGUUGUAAAGUACUUUCAGCGGGGAGGAAGGGAGUAAAGUUAAUACCUUUGCUCAUUGACGUUACCCGCAGAAGAAGCACCGGCUAACUCCGUGCCAGCAGCCGCGGUAAUACGGAGGGUGCAAGCGUUAAUCGGAAUUACUGGGCGUAAAGCGCACGCAGGCGGUUUGUUAAGUCAGAUGUGAAAUCCCCGGGCUCAACCUGGGAACUGCAUCUGAUACUGGCAAGCUUGAGCCUCGUAGAGGGGGGUAGAAUUCCAGGUGUAGCGGUGAAAUGCGUAGA
rnacentral:rRNA from 1 species